rnacentral:rRNA from 1 species
CCUACGGGUGGCAGCAGUCGAGAAUCAUUCACAAUGGGGGAAACCCUGAUGGUGCGACGCCGCGUGGGGGAAUGAAGGUCUUCGGAUUGUAAACCCCUGUCAUGUGAGAGCAAAUUAAAAAGAUAGUACCACACGAGGAAGAGACGGCUAACUCUGUGCAAGCAGCCGCGGUAAUACAGAGGUCUCAAGCGUUGUUCGGAAUCACUGGGCGUAAAGCGUGCGUAGGCUGUUUCGUAAGUCGUGUGUGAAAGGCGCGGGCUCAACCCGCGGACGGCACAUGUUACUGCGAGACUAGAGUAAUGGAGGGGGAACCGGAAUUCUCGGUGUAGCAGUGAAAUGCGUAGAUAUCGAGAGGAACACUCGUGGCGAAGGCGGGUUCCUGGACAUUAACUGACGCUGAGGCACGAAGGCCAGGGGAGCGAAAGGGAUUAGAUACCCGAGUAGUC